rnacentral:rRNA from 1 species
AAGGAAAGAGGGAGGAAUACAUAACACAUGCCAGUCGAACGAGACCUUCGGGUCUAGUGGCGCACGGGUGCGUAACGCGUGGGAACCUGCCCUUAGGUUCGGAAUAACUCCCCGAAAGGGGUGCUAAUACCGGAUAAUGUCUUCGGACCAAAGAUUUAUCGCCUUUGGAUGGGCCCGCGUUGGAUUAGCUAGUUGGUAGGGUAAAAGCCUACCAAGGCGACGAUCCAUAGCUGGUCUGAGAGGAGGAUCAGGAACACUGUGACUGAGGCACGGCCCAGACUCCUACGGGAGGCAGCAGUGGGGAAUAGUGGACGAUGGCCGAAAGCCUGAUCCAGCAAUGCCGCGUGAGGGAUGAAGGCCUUAGGGUUGUAAAGCUCUUUUACCCGGGAUGAUAAUGACAGUACCGGGAGAAUAAGCGUCGGCUAGCUCCGUU